rnacentral:rRNA from 1 species
AGCGUAAUAGCUCACUAGUCGAGGAAAAAAGCACUGACAAUGUAUCGGGGCUCAACUUAUUUACCGAAGCAAUGUAGAAAGAGGUAGCGAAGCGUUUUGUAAACCGAUGAAGAUGUCUUGUGAAAGAUAUUGGAGGAUUCAAAAGUGAAUAUACUGACAUGAGUAACGAAAAAAUCAUGUGAAAAUCAUGAUCGCCGUAAGUUCAAGGGUUUCUGCGGUCCGCUUCUCGGCGCAGAGUGAAUCGGCUUCUAAAUUUCAUGUGAAAACAUUGAAAUGAUGAACUUCAUCAAACUGACAAAUUGCAAUAAAAAAAUAACCAAAUUGGAUAGGAAAUUUUUAUGUUCAAUUUCAGGAAAAAGUUUGAUAUUUAAUAACCGUACCCAAAACCGACACUGGUGAACAAGUCGAAUAGACUCAGGCGUUGAGAUAACCAUGCUGAAGGAACUCGGCAAAAUAUUCCCGUACCUUAGGAAGAAGGGAAACCAAAUAUUGGUGACACAAAAAUGAGGGUGACGACUUUUUACUAAAAAAUUAGGACUCUGCAAAAUGGUAACAUGAAGUAUAGGGUCUGACGUCUGCCCGGUGCUAGAAGCUUAAGAGGAGAGUUGAAAGAUUUGAAUUCAAGGCCUAGUAAACGGCGGUUGUAACAAUAACAAUCAUAAAGUAGCGAAAUUCCUUGCCAGCUAAUUCCUGGCCUGCAUGAAAGACGUAACGAUUGCCCUACUGUCUCCAGCAUGGACUCAGUGAAAUUGAAUUUUCCGUGAAGAUGCGGAAAUCGUGCCCCAAGACGAGAAGACCCUAUGCAUCUUUACUGUACAUUUACAUUGAACAAAGAACUUAAGUAUGUAGGAAAGGUGGGAGUGCUUACAUCCUUGAAAUACCACCUUCUUGAGUUCUUCAUUCUUAUUUGCAUGGCAAAAAAAGUGUAUAUGAGGCAGUUUGACUGGGGCGGUCGCCUCCUAAAGAGUAACGGAGGCGUACGAAGGUAAACUCAAUGAAAGUUGGAAACUUUCUGAAGAAUGUAAUGGUAAAAGUUUGCCUGACUGCAAGACUCAACAAGUCGAGCAGAGACGAAAGUCGGUCAUAGUGAUCCAAAAGUACCGCGUGGAAGGGCUUUUGCUUAACGAAUCAAAGAUACGCUAGGGAUAACAGGCUAAUAAUUCCCAAGAGUCCUUAUCGACGGAAUUGUUUGGCACCUCGAUGUUGACUGAUCAUAUCCUGGGGCUGAAGAAGGUCCCAAGGGUUCGGCUGUUCGCCGAUGAAAAUGGUACCUGAGUUGAGUUUAGAACGUCGUGAGACAGUUUGGAUUCUACCUGGGGUGCGCGUAAGAAUUGAGAAAACUACUUCUUUGUACGAGAGGACCGGAAGUAUUCAACCUCUGGUGGACUGGUUGUUAAGCCAUUAGCAUUGCCAGGAAGCUACGUUGAGACAGGAGAACCGUUGAAAGCAUAUGAAACGGGAAACUUUUUUCAAGACAAAUUCUUUUUUUUCGUGAAAGAUUCUCACGUUGAUAGGCGAAAUGUGUACAAUUUGUAAAAAUUCUAGCUUUUUCGUACUAAA